rnacentral:tRNA from 1 species
GGAGAGGUGGCUGAGUGGUUUAAGGCGACGGUCUUGAAAACCGUUGUGCGUUCACGCGUACCGUGGGUUCGAAUCCCACCCUCUCCGCAA